rnacentral:rRNA from 1 species
UGUGCAAAUCGUUUGGAUGACUUGGGUAUAGGGGUGAAAGGCCAAUCUAGGCCGGAAAUAGCUGGUUCCCCCCGAAACUAGUCGCAGCUAGACCUCGAUCGAGGUGGAAUGUGAGGUAGAGCACCGAUUGGGUGCUUAGGGGAAGAAAUUCCUCGGCAUCUUGUCAAACUCCGAACUUGCGUUCAUCGUAGACGUCGGGUGUGAGGCCAUCCGGGGUAAGCUUGGUGGCCAUAAGGGAAACAACCCAGACUAUAGUUAAGGUCCCUAAAUUUCGGUCAAGUGUAAUACGAAAUGGUGUCGGCGGUCUAAAACAACCGGGAGGUGGGCUUAGAAGCAGCCAUCCUUCAAAGAUAGCGUAACAGCUCACCGGUCUAGAUCGUGGGCCCAGAAAAUGGACGGGGCUAAACCGAGUACCGAUACUAUAGGAUACUGCAAAGUAAUUCGGUAGGGGGGCGUGGUGCAUGGGCAGAAGCAGGGCUGUGAAGUCCUGUGGACCGUGUACCAACGAGGAUCCUGGAGAGAGUAGCAGCAAAGCACGGUGAGAAUCCGUGUCGCCGCAGGGGCAAGGGUUCCUUGGCAAUGUUCGUCAGCCAAGGGUUAGUCGAUCCUAAGGUAACUCUUAAUCGAAGUUAUCGAAUGGGAAACAGGUUAAUAUUCCUGUACCAGCAAGAUCUUUGCCUAUGUAGUUAGUUCGGGAUAGUUGAUGUACGCCAGUCAGCGUAUCUAAGCGCCGAAUCCGAUGAAGAACCGUAAUGGUGAGAAGUUGGAGAAUGCGUUAUGGGGCGAGCGUAAGCUCGCUUUCGAUAAUUCCUGGAUUCCGUGAAACCUGCAUAGUUACAAUCUUGUUGUUCGUACCAAGAACCGACACAGGUGUCCCUAGGUGAGUAGCCUAAGGCGUGUUAGCAUAAUCGUGGCGAGGGAACUCGGCAAAUUAGCCCUGUAACUUCGGGAGAAGGGGUGCCAGCAGUGAGAGCUGCUGGUCGCAGUGACAAGAGAACACCGACUGUUUAAUAAAAACAUAGGUCUCUGCUAGUUCGAAAGGAUGUGUAUAGAGGCCGAAGCCUGCCCAGUGUCGGCAUCUGAAAAUCUGUUACAACGGAUCGAAGGACCGAUAAACGGCGGGGGUAACUAUGACCCUCUUAAGGUAGCGUAAUACCUUGUCGCUUAAUUGGCGACUUGCAUGAAGGCUCAACGAGUGUUCUACUGUCCCCGCCAUGACGCUAGUGAAAUCAAUCAGUCUGGUGCACAAUCCAGACCCCUCCAUCUGAAAGCGAAGACCCCAUGGAGUUUCACUGCAACCUGUUGUUGUUGUAAGAAUUGGCAUGUGUAGGGUAGGCGGGAGACGUUACCCAGGAAGGUGCGCUAGCAUCUCUCCGAGUCACCGAUGAAACACCGCCCUUGCAAGUUUUUACGACUCACCUCUCCGGAGGAACAGCUAUAGGCAGGCAGUUCGGGUGGGGCGCCACGCCCUCAAAAAGAUAACAAGGGUGCCCAAAGGUUGGCUCAGGUAGGUCAGAAAUCUACCGAAGAAUGUAAGGGUAUAAGCCAGCUUGACUCGGAACCAGACAAUAGGGUUCGGAGAUAGGAAACUAAGGCCUAACGAACCAAUCAACCUCCUGAAUGGGGGUGAUUGAUGUCAGAAAAAUUACCCUGGGGAUAAUUGAGUUGUCACGAGCAAGAGUUCACAUCGACCUCGUGGCUUGCUACUUCGCUGUCGGCUCUCCCUAUCCUGGUGGUGCAGCAGCUGCCAAGGGUGGGGUUGUUCGCCCAUUAAAAGGGAUCGUGAGCUGGGUUUAAAACGUCGCGAGACAGUUUUGUUGCUUUUUGAUGGAGGUGUUGGUACCUGAUGAGAAGGACCCUUUAGUACGAGAGGAACAGGGGUUCGUCGCCUCUAGUUUAUCAGUUGUCUGACAAGGCAAGCUGAGUAGCCACGCGGUAGUGGAUAAGAGCUGAAGGCAUCUAAGCUCGAAGCCAUCUUAAAAAAGAGGUACCCAUAGAACGCUCAUAAAUGAUGAGUUCGAUAGAAGCCGGAUGUAAGUAUCGAGGUUCGCCGAGAUAUUCAGUCCUGGCUAACUAAUGUUCUUUGACGU